ACACGAUGUUCCUUCAGUGUUGCCAAAACAAUCUCGAACACAUUAGCUUCAGAAUACAGUGAGUAUGUGAUAACUGUUGACCAAGUAACAUUGCUGAGAUAGAGACCAAGGUGAAAGUGGGACCUGACUGAUCCCCCACCCCCAAUAAAAGGGAUAAAAUAACGUUUCUUGGUUUGUUUAAAAUCAUGUUUUCAGUUGCUUAGGUUUUGUAGCACUGAAUUGAAUAAUCUGUGAGUAAUAAAUUUUCAAGUAAUGUCCUGACACAAAAGAAGCUAAAUUGUAAUGUUCAGUGGCAAUAAAUUCAUGUUGUUGCACCUAAAUCAGCAAGAAAUUAUAAAAAAAUGUGCAAAUUUAAAAUGGUUCCAAAUUACAUAUUUAUUUAUUCCUGAAUUUUGGCAUUUUCCCACAACUUUUAUAUUGGCUUUUUUCUCUUUCAGAAUGAUGAGGGUGACUCAUGCAGUUUUUGACACUUGAGAGGCACACACUGAUUGGUAGUUUCCAACACAAUCAAUUAUAUUAAGAAAUGACAAUUCAAGAAUGGGUAGUGUUUGGAAUAAGAUUUCUUUUGCAAGGUUGUAACAAUUCCUCUUUAUAGCUUAUGCUGUACAAAUGAACUUCCUUAUCCCUUUUAUUAAGGAAAGCUCAACUACAUUAAAACAGUCAGCUGAGCUGAUAUAAAAGUAUCACAGUAAUUCUUGCAAUAUUUACUUUCAUUACAACUUUAAUUUUCUAAUAAAAAGUGCUUAUUUGUAAAUUGGACAGUUGAUAAUGCAAGUAAUAUUGCAAUUCUAAAUUAAAAUACUGAUAAUUUUAUUACUGUAUUAAUAAAGAAAGAUUAAAAUAUGAAAGGAAAUAUAUUCUGGUUUGAUGUUUAAUGUAAGGUUAUGUAUUAUAAAUUAAAUUAUAAAACUGCUGUACUCAUCUUUGAACCACAAAGCACCAACAUAGCUUUUAGACAAUUACUAUAGCAAAAAUAAGUUAUGGUGCUAUUUUCAGCCAAGGUACUGUACUGUACUGUAAACUGAAGUUGAUUAUGUCAUAAGAAACAAAUAAAAGAUCCACACAGGAAAUCUA